UACGUAGGGAGCAAGCGUUGUCCGGAAUCAUUGGGCGUAAAGAGCGUGUAGGCGGCUCGGUAAGUCCGCUGUGAAAGUCCAGGGCUCAACCCCUGGAAUGCCGGUGGAAACUGUCGAGCUAGAGUCCGGAAGAGGCGAGUGGAAUUCCUGGUGUAGCGGUGAAAUGCGCAGAUAUCAGGAGGAACACCAAUGGCGAAGGCAGCUCGCUGGGACGGUACUGACGCUGAGACGCGAAAGCGUGGGGAGCAAACAGG
rnacentral:rRNA from 1 species